rnacentral:rRNA from 1 species
AAUCAACGCUGGCGGCGUGCCUAACACAUGCAAGUCGAGCGAGAAAAGGGGAGCAAUCCCCUGAGUACAGCGGCGCACGGGUGAGUAACACGUGGGUAAUCUGCCCUAGAGUGGGGAAUAACACCGGGAAACCGGUGCUAAUACCGCAUACGAUCACAAGAUCUGCGGAUUUUGUGAUGAAAGGAGCAAUUCGCUCUGGGAGGAGCCCGCGGCUGAUUAGCUAGUUGGUGAGGUAACGGCUCACCAAGGCAACGAUCAGUAUCCGGUCUGAGAGGACGGGCGGACAAACUGGAACUGAGACACGGUCCAGACUCCUACGGGAGGCAGCAGUGGGGAAUUUUUGGCAAUGGGGGCAACCCUGACCAAGCAACGCCGCGUGGGUGAUGAAGUCUCUUGGGACGUAAAACCCUUUCGACGGGGACGAAACCGCAAGGUUGACGGUACCCGUAGAAGAAGCCCCGGCUAACUCCGUGCCAGCAGCCGCUGUAAUAC